AAAGCGUGGAAAUGGCCCAUGCUCUCUCCAGCCAUUACAAAGAUAGAUAGAUAGUACACAAUCUCUAUCGUAGCUAGCUGCUAGUGCUAGCUCCAGCCUCCGGGGUUGAGUUGACAGCAAGAGUUACUGAUGGCCGUCGUCGUCAACAUGGCACCGACGCCGCCGGCCUCGACGGCCAUACCUGGACGUCUGCUGCUGCUGCUGCUGCUGCUGCUUGUCUCAGUCACAGCAUCCUUCUCUGAAGGACUGAGUGAUGAGUGCGUGUACUUCGUAGGAGCGAACAAGCGAACACAGCCAUGGAUCGAAGGAAAUCAAGUCCAGCACGCAGGUGAUUAAUUGGAAGGCGAGGCACGCCCAAGAAGAAAACCUAUCUUUGGUUGCGAGUUGCAUUUUCUAGAGUGCUGCGUGUUCGAAUAAUUUCAUUUAUCAAGAGCUUUUAUAUAUAUGCUGGAUUGUAAAAAAAAAUUUAUAAAGCUAUUGUCCUGACAAUGGAAGCGUGCAGCCAACCUAUGCCUCUAAGUGUUGCAAACCUUUUUGGAAGCUGGUGUAAGCAUGGAGGAAAAGGAAACAGAUUGUCUUCACUAACAGGGAGACAACACCUGCUGCUAGUCUAUUGGAAGCUGGUACAAGUAUAUUGAUCAAAUGUGUAUAAUCCUUUGUAAAUGUGAGAUGAGAUGUUUGACCAAAAGAAUUGUUAUGGAAUGAUACACUACAAUCUUGAGGUAUUUUUA